CACAGGAGAAAGGCUUCUCACCUGUAUGAAUUCUGAUGUGAUGAGUUAAAGUCCCUCUUUCACUGUAACUCUUUCCACAGAUACCACAGGUGAAAGGCUUCUCACCUGUAUGAAUUCUCAUGUGAACAUUGAACUGUUCUUUUUUAGAGAAACUCUUUCCACAGAUACCACAGGUGAAAGGCUUCUCACCUGUAUGAAUUCUCAUGUGAACAUUGAAAUUACCUUUAUCAGAGAAACUUUUUCCGCAGGUCCCACAGGAGAAAGGCUUCUCACCUGUAUGAAUUUUGAUGUGAUGAGUUAAACUCUGUCUAU